GAUGAAGAACGUAGCGAAAUGCGAUAAGUAAUGCGAAUUGCAGAAUUUCCGUGAGUCAUCGAAUCUUUGAACGCACAUUGCGCCCACUGGUAUUCUGGCGGGCAUGCCUGUUCGAGCGUCAUUUCAACCAUCAAGCCCCCCGGCUUGCGUUGGGGCCCUGCGGCUGCCGCAGGCCCCUAAAAGCAGUGGCGGGCUCGCUGUCACACCGAGCGCAGUAGCGAUAUUCGCUCCGGGCGUCGGCGGCGGGCACCGGCCGUGAAACUCCCCCCAUUUCUCAAGGUUGACCUCGGAUCAGGUAGGAAUACCCGCUGAACUUAAGCAUAUCAAUAAGCGGAGGA
rnacentral:misc_RNA from 1 species